rnacentral:rRNA from 1 species
ACGGCCCACCAAGGCGACGAUGCGUAGGGGUUCUGAGAGGAAGGUCCCCCACACUGGUACUGAGACACGGACCAGACUCCUACGGGAGGCAGCAGUGAGGAAUAUUGGUCAAUGGGCGAGAGCCUGAACCAGCCAAGUCGCGUGAGGGAGUACUGCCCUAUGGGUUGUAAACCUCUUUUGUCGGGGAGCAAAAGCCGGACGUGUCCGGCUGUGAGAGUACCCGAAGAAAAAGCAUCGGCUAACUCCGUGCCAGCAGCCGCGGUAAUACGGAGGAUGCGAGCGUUAUCCGGAUUUAUUGGGUUUAAAGGGUGCGCAGGCGGAUUUUUAAGUCAGCGGUCAAAUCGUGGGGCUCAACCCCAUCCAGCCGUUGAAACUGGGGAUCUAGAGUGUGCGAGAGGUAUGCGGAAUGCGUGGUGUAGCGGUGAAAUGCAUAGAUAUCACGCAGAACCCCGAUUGCGAAGGCAGCAUACCGGUGCACAACUGACGCUCAGGCACGAAAGCGUGGGUAUCGAACAGGAUUAGAUACCCUGGUAGUCCACGCAGUA